rnacentral:rRNA from 1 species
UACGGGGGGGGCAAGCGUUGUUCGGAAUUACUGGGCGUAAAGGGCUCGUAGGCGGCCAACUAAGUCAGACGUGAAAUCCCUCGGCUUAACCGGGGAACUGCGUCUGAUACUGGAUGGCUUGAGUUUGGGAGAGGGAUGCGGAAUUCCAGGUGUAGCGGUGAAAUGCGUAGAUAUCUGGAGGAGCACCGGUGGCGAAGGCGGCAUCCUGGACCAACACUGACGCUGAGUGAGCGAAAGCCAGGGGAGCAAACGGG